GUGGGGAAUAUUGGACAAUGGGCGCAAGCCUGAUCCAGCCACGCCGCGUGAGUGAUGAAGGCCCUAGGGUUGUAAAGCUCUUUCACCGGAGAAGAUAAUGACGGUAUCCUGAGAAGAAGCCCCGGCUAACUUCGUGCCAGCAGCCGCGGUAAUACGAAGGGGGCUAGCGUUGUUCGGAAUUACUGGGCGUAAAGCGCACGUAGGCGGACAUUUAAGUCAGGGGUGAAAUCCCGGGGCUCAACCCCGGAACUGCCUUUGAUACUGGGUGUCUGGAGUAUGGAAGAGGUAAGUGGAAUUCCGAGUGUAGAGGUGAAAUUCGUAGAUAUUCGGAGGAACACCAGUGGCGAAGGCGGCUUACUGGUCCAUUACUGACGCUGAGGUGCGAAAGCGUGGGGAGCAAACAGGAUUAGAAACCCGGGUAGUCC
rnacentral:rRNA from 1 species